rnacentral:rRNA from 1 species
AUACGGAGGGUCCAAGCGUUAUCCGGAAUCAUUGGGUUUAAAGGGUCCGCAGGCGGUCAGUUAAGUCAGAGGUGAAAGCCCAUCGCUCAACGAUGGAACUGCCUUUGAUACUGGUUGACUUGAGUUAUACGGAAGUAGAUAGAAUAAGUAGUGUAGCGGUGAAAUGCAUAGAUAUUACUUAGAAUACCGAUUGCGAAGGCAGUCUACUACGUAUAUACUGACGCUGAGGGACGAAAGCGUGGGGAGCGAACAGGAUUAGAAACCCUAGUAGUCC